UAAGGAAUAUUGGUCAAUGGACGCAAGUCUGAACCAGCCAUGCCGCGUGAAGGAUGAAGGUCCUCUGGAUUGUAAACUUCUUUUAUCUGGGACGAAAACGGGAUUUUUAUCUCAAUUGACGGUACCAGAGGAAUAAGCACCGGCUAACUCCGUGCCAGCAGCCGCGGUAAUACGGAGGGUGCGAGCGUUAUCCGGAUUUACUGGGUUUAAAGGGUGCGUAGGUGGGCUUAUAAGUCAGUGGUGAAAUCUCCGAGCUUAACUUGGAAACUGCCGUUGAUACUGUAGGUCUUGAAUUAUCUGGAGGUAAGCGGAAUAUGUCAUGUAGCGGUGAAAUGCUUAGAUAUGACAUAGAACACCAAUUGCGAAGGCAGCUUACUACAUAUAAAUUGACGCUGAGGCACGAAAGCGUGGGGAUCAAACA
rnacentral:rRNA from 1 species